rnacentral:rRNA from 1 species
UUACUGAUCUAAAUAUAUUUAUCUAACAACUUUUAAUUUAUGAUUAUUAAACAAUUUCACAUAUUUUACAGCAAACCAUUACCCCCAUUUUAGUAUAGGUGAUAGAAAAAAAUUAUACAUAUACAGUACCGCAAGGGAACAUUGAAAAAGUGAUGAAACAGAUUGAUUAAGUAAAACAAAGCAAAGAUAAAAUCUUGUACCUUUUGCAUCAUGGCUUAGCAAGUAGACCCGAAAAUACUGCCGCCCCCCCGAAACUAGACGAGCUACCCUGGGAUUACCUAUAAGGGUUAAUCCGUAUCUGUGGCAAAAGAUUGGAAAAAGCCCUGGGUAGAGGUGAAAAGCCUACCGAGCCUAGUGAUAGCUGGUUACUUAAGAAACAAGUUUAAGCUUGAUCUUAAUUUGUAGAUAAGCAACAAAAUUACUUAUAAAUUUAAACAUCUUACUCCUCUACACUUUAAGUUUUAUUCACUAGGGGUACAGCCCUAGUGAACAGAGAUACAGCUCUAUUAAUUAGAUAAUAUUACAUCUAUAAACUUAAGUAGGCCUAAAAGCAGCCACCAAGAAGAAAAGCGUUACAGCUUAAGUUUACCAAACUUUAAAUACCAUAAUAUAUAAAGACCCUAUAACCACUAUUAAGUAAUCCUAUAUUAUAGGAAAUAUCCUGCUAAGAUUAGUAAUUUGAGGCCGCACCCCUCUAAAUGUAAGUGUAAACCAGAUCGGACCAACCACUGGAAAUUAACGGCCCUUAAAACAACAGGAAGUCAUCAACGCACCUACCGACAGGAAAAACAAGAACUAAUAACCGUUAAUCCUACACUGGAACAUAAUAUAGAAGAUAUAAAGGAUGAGAAGGAACUCGGCAAACACAUGCCUCGCCUGUUUACCAAAAACAUCACCUCCAGAUAAGAACACCCUAUUGGAGGCAAGACCUGCCCAAUGAUUAAUAUUGAAUGGCCGCGGUACUUUGACCGUGUAAAAGUAGCGUAAUCACUUGUCUUGUAAAUUAAGACUGGAAUGAAAGGUUACACGAGGGCAUAACUGUCUCCUUAUCCCUAUCAAUGAAAUUGACCUACCCGUGCAAAGGCGGGUAUAAACCCAUAAGACGAGAAGACCCUGUGGAGCUUCCAAACAUUUACAUCGCAUAAUCAUUAUUUACGAUGCACAGUUUUAGGUUGGGGCAACCACGGAACAAAAGUAAUAUCCACGACGACGAAAAUACAAUUUUCUUAACCUAGAGUUACAACUCUAAGUACUAGUAAAACUAACGUUAAUAGACCCAGCAUCACUUGCUGCCUAACGAAACAAGUUACCCCAGGGAUAACAGCGCAAUCCUUUCCACGAGCCCGAAUCAACGAAAGGGUUUACGACCUCGAUGUUGGAUCGGGGCACCCCAAUGGCGCAAAAGCUAUUAAAGGUUCGUUUGUUCAACGAUUAAAGCCCCACGUGAUCUGAGUUCAGACCGGAGUAAUCCAGGUCAGUUUCUAUCUAUGUUUGCUACUUCCCCAGUACGAAAGGACCGGCGAAGCAAGGGUCUAUACACUUAUGCAAACCCUAUAUCAAUCUUAUGAGAUCAACUUAAUAAGAAUAGUAAGCAACCUUAAAUAUAUAACUAGACAAGUU